UACGAAGGGGGCUAGCGUUGCUCGGAAUCACUGGGCGUAAAGCGCACGUAGGCGGAUCUUUAAGUCAGUGGUGAAAGCCCGGAGCUCAACUCCGGAACUGCCAUUGAAACUGUAAAACUUGAGGACGAGAGAGGUGAGUGGAAUUCCCAGUGUAGAGGUGAAAUUCGUAGAUAUUGGGAAGAACACCGGUGGCGAAGGCGGCUCACUGGCUCGUAUCUGACGCUCAGGCGCGACAGCGUGGGGAUCAAACAGG
rnacentral:rRNA from 1 species